AAUGAAUUGCCCUAAUAAUAUUUACUGAAUAAAUGUAUCCCUUCCCCCAGACUGGAAUGCAAUGCUACCGCUGUCAUAUUUCAGUUUUCCACAGUUGGAGAGAUAAGUUCCACAUUUUGUAUUUUUAAAAUAUUGGUUUAUUAGUCUAACUCUGACUAUACUCUUUUAAUUAGCAUGACUUUAUAAUAAGCCUUGAUACAUGAGUGGAAGGCCUUACUUGUUUGACUUAUAAUUUGUACCCGUUCUUGGUCUUUGGCUCUUUUUUUUUUCUUUUCUUGAGACGGAGUCUCACUCUGUCGCCAGGCUGGAGCGCAGUGAAUUUCAGCUGUGAAGCUAACAGAAUCAUUGACAUUAUUUUUUGGCUUCUUAUUCUCUAUUUUAGUCAAUUUUAAUGGUAGUAAAAAUGUAGUAAGAGUACAUUUGAAAAGAUGAUCUUAUCACCCCAAAAUGCAUUAUGUGUUUGUGUAUUUUCUUGGAUUCUGUUUUCCAUACUGAAUUUUAAUUUUUACUAAUAAGCAUGGUUGUUUCUUCCUGGCUAGGACAGUUUCUUACUCCAGUCCCCCUCUAUCCUGCACUGUUGUCCCUCACCCCUUAAUUUUCUUCUUUCUGCUUCAAUAAAUCUUUGUACAUCUUUAACAGCUCAGCCCCACCAAGUGUUCUGAAUUAUAUCAAGAAAUCUUUGUUUGCAGCUAUUUAAUUAUAGAUUUUCUAAAAAUGGCCCACAUCAACCUUUCUCCCAAAUCAUAGUGGAUGAAACCAUGUUAUAAUGUUUUGUUUGAUCCUUUGAGCUGACAUAAUCUUUAGACUUAAUAUUGUGCCUACAUCUUUCCCAAAUCUUGAGUAAAACAAUAUCACUGAUUCUGAGAGUCAUUACAUCUUUGAUAAGUGUUUUUUGUGUACAGUGAGGUAAGUUUCUUUUUACCCUGAGAUGCCAUAAUUCUCAGGGUAAUUGUCUUACCCUAUAAUUACCCUAUAAUUGUCUCUUUGGCUGUUGGUAGGCCUGCCAGCAAUAUAAAAGUGGAG
rnacentral:lncRNA from 1 species